GGUCCUAGGAAGGACGCUGUUUGUGAAGGUAAAAUCUCUAAUUGGGGAGAGAAGGGCCAGCUGGUGAGCUGUUGAGAUCAGGUGAAGACCUGAAUCGCAGAAGCACAGCACGGUCAGAGCCCGCUGCGCCGGCAGCAAGGCCAGAAGGUGCACGAAGAAGGUAAAGAAAUGCCUGGUGAGGGGACAGCAUGUAUGUUUGUGUGGAGGGUGAUGAAUAAAGAAAAGUAAACCAUGAGGACCCUCAGAAAUUUAAAAUAAUGGUUCCAACAUGGAGCUCAACAGACCAGGUGAAGAAUAGAUCAAUGCACCUGAAAAUGAAUUAUGGCCCCAAUAAUCAAGCUGCUCAAAAGGCAUCUCAUGUGAAUUUCCUGUGUGAAGGAUUGACAGAACAGAGGAGAGAGAGAAAAUUAAUAGUGAAAUAAAACUACCCAGAGAUAAAUGAAGACACAUGUAUGUGUGUUGAAUGAGUUCACUGGAAGCUGAUCACAGUGAGUGAAACAGAUAAGCGCUUACAGGCAGCACUGGGAAAUUUCACAACAACAGGGGUGAAGAGUAAGUUCCAAAAGAUUUCAAAGCAGUCUGGGUGCAGUGGCUCACGCCUGUAAUCCCAGCACUUUAGGAGACUGAGGCAGGUAGAUCACUUGAGGUCAGGAGUUCAAGACAAGCCUGGCCAACAUGGUGAAACCCCGUCUCUACUAAAAAUACAAAAAAUUAGCCAGGCGUGGUGGCGGGCACCUGUAAUCCCAGCUACUCAGGAGGCUGAAGCAGGAGAAUCACUUGAACCUGGCAGGCGAAGGUUGCAGUGAGCCGAGAUGGCACCAUUGCAUUCCAGCCUGGGAAACAAGAGUGAAACUCUGUCUCAAAAAAAAAAAAAAAAAAAAAAAAAUUCCGAGGGAGAGAGAGGGGAGCAGGGGAAAGAGAGGGAAUAGGAGAGAGAGGGGAGAGGGAGGAGAGGCAGAAGAGAGGGAGGAGAGAGGGAGAAGAAAGGAGAAGGAGAGGAGAGAGAGAGAGAAGGAGGGAGAAGAGAGAGAAAGGAAAGAGAGAGAAAAAGAAAGCAACUUCCCGGGUGGGCAUGGUGGCUCACGCCUGUAAUCUCAGCACUUAGGGAGGCUGAGGUGGGCAGAUCACUUGAGGUCAGGAGUUUGAGACCAACCUGGCCAAUAUGGUGAAACCCCAUCUCUACUAAAAAUACAAAAAUUAGCCGGGCGUGGUGUUGGGCACUUGUAGUCCCAGCUACUUGGGAGGCUGAGACAGGAGAACCCCUUGAACCCAGGAGGCAGAGGUUGCAGUGAGCCAAGAUCACACCACUGCACUCCAGCCUGGGCAACAGAGUGAGAUUCUGUCGAAAAGAAAAAAGAAAAGACAAGAAGAGAAAAGAAAAGAAAUUUCCCUACAAAGAAACAAAAAUUAAAUUGGGUUCUGCUCCUCACUGGGGACAAUGGAUGCCGGAAGACAACAGAGCAGUAACCUCAAAAGUUUUGGAGAUGAAAAUUAUUUUGAACUUAGCAUUUUAGGCCAGGCGCAGUGGCUCACACCUGUAAUCCCAGCACUUUGGGAGGCUGAGGCGGGUGGAUCACCUGAGGUCAGGAGUUCAGGACUAGCCUGGCCAACGUGGUGAAACCUCAUCUCAACUAAAAAUACAAAAAAAUUAGCUGGGCGUGGUGGCGGGCACCUGUAAUCCCAGCUACUUGGGAGGCUGAGGCAGGAGAAUCUCUUGAGCCCAGGAGGCGGAGCUUGCAGUGAGCCGAGAUCAUGCCACUGCACUCCAGCCUGGGCAACAGAGUGAGACUCCAUCUCAAAAAAAAAAAAAAAAAAAGAAAGAAAAAGAAAAAAGAAAAAUAGAAAUAGAUGUAUAACUUUUUAAUCUGUUAAAGGGUAGUUACUAGAAAAAUAGAAACAGAUGUAUAACUUCUUUAAUCUGUUCCUAAACUACUGGAGGAACAAUAAUAAAAUAACCACUCCUCAAAGGACAAGAAAUAAAGCAUGAAACUAUCCGUGGCUAGGUGUGGUGGCAUACAUCUGUAAUCCCAGCUACUCAGGAGGCUGAGGCAUGCGAAUUGCUUGAAUCCAGGAGGUGAAGGUUGCAGUGAGCCAAGAUCGAGCUACCGCACUCCAUUCUGGGUGACAGAGAGAGACUCUGUCUCAAAAAAAAAAAAAAAAGAAAAAAGAAAGAAUAUAUGUAUCAAUUAGUGUCAUACCAGCUGAGAGUUACAGACAACUUGAUUCCCUGUGGCUUACAGAAAGAAGUGACUUGACUUUCUCGUGUUACAGAAAAGUUCAGACACGCCUGGCAGCAGACAAGGCUUGGAGCAGGGGUUUAAACAGUGCUCACAGGACUGAGUCUGUCCUUGUGUGGAGGCUGCCUUCCUCCACACUGCUCUCAUCCUCAGGCCCUACACGGAGGCAGGUUACCUCCAUCAGCUACUUCUGUCUUCCCAGUUCCAGUCCAGUGGGAAAGGGCCACCCUUCUACUAACAGUUCCACCAAAUGCUCAUUGUCCCUCAUCAGCCUGAUGGGCUUAUGCGUGCAGGGGGACACAGGCUGUGAUUAGCCAAGCCCUGAGCCACCUGCCCAUCCUAGAAUCAGGAAGGAAGUUGGAGUUGAGAGUGGCUUAAGAAGGAACAUAGCAGCCAGGCGUGGUGGCUCACGCCUGUGAUCCCAGCACUUUGGGAGGCUGAGGUGGGCAGAU
rnacentral:lncRNA from 1 species